rnacentral:rRNA from 1 species
CCAGGAGCUUGCUCCUGGGGAUUAGUGGCGAACGGGUGAGUAACACGUGAGCAAUCUGCCCUUGACUCUGGGAUAAGCGCUGGAAACGGCGUCUAAUACCGGAUACGACCCUCGGAGGCAUCUCCUGGGGGUGGAAAGAACUUCGGUCAAGGAUGAGCUCGCGGCCUAUCAGCUUGUUGGUGAGGUAAUAGCUCACCAAGGCGACGACGGGUAGCCGGCCUGAGAGGGUGACCGGCCACACUGGGACUGAGACACGGCCCAGACUCCUACGGGAGGCAGCAGUGGGGAAUAUUGCACAAUGGGCGCAAGCCUGAUGCAGCAACGCCGCGUGAGGGACGACGGCCUUCGGGUUGUAAACCUCUUUUAGCAGGGAAGAAGCGAGAGUGACGGUACCUGCAGAAAAAGCACCGGCUAACUACGUGCCAGCAGCCGCGGUAAUACGUAGGGUGCAAGCGUUGUCCGGAAUUAUUGGGCGUAAAGAGCUCGUAGGCGGUCUGUCGCGUCUGCUGUGAAAACCCGAGGCUCAACCUCGGGCUUGCAGUGGGUACGGGCAGACUAGAGUGCGGUAGGGGAGAUUGGAAUUCCUGGUGUAGCGGUGGAAUGCGCAGAUAUCAGGAGGAACACCGAUGGCGAAGGCAGAUCUCUGGGCCGUAACUGACGCUGAGGAGCGAAAGCGUGGGGAGCAAACAGGCUUAGAUACCCUGGUAGUCCACGCC